rnacentral:lncRNA from 1 species
CGUCAACUGAUAAAGGAAAAGGCCUAUUAGGGUCCAACCCGCCCUCAAGAAGCCAAACCCAGUAUUUCAGGUGCCAAAAGUUUGGCCAUAUCGCGUCCCAAUGUAAUGCCAAGACUUAUUUAAUAACUGAUCUAGAAGCAGGAACCCAGGAGACUGAAUGUGUCGAAGAAGUCUAUGAACCAAACAUCGAGGAUUUUGUAGAAGACUUUGGAGACGAACAGACCGGGUUAGAGUUUGCCCAGCC